rnacentral:rRNA from 1 species
CAGCCGCCGCGGUAAUACGAAGGGUGCAAGCGUUAAUCGGAAUUACUGGGCGUAAAGCGUGCGUAGGCGGUUUGUUAAGUCUGUUGUGAAAUCCCCGGGCUCAACCUGGGAAUGGCAAUGGAUACUGGCAAGCUAGAGUGUGUCAGAGGAUGGUGGAAUUCCCGGUGUAGAGGUGAAAUUCGUAGAUAUUGGGAAGAACACCGGUGGCGAAGGCGGCAACCUGGCUCAUUACUGACGCUGAGGCGCGAAAGCGUGGGGAGCAAACAGGAUUAGAGACCCGAGUAGUCCCUGUCUCUUAUAA